rnacentral:tRNA from 1 species
GGCGAUAUAGCUCAGUUGGUUAGAGCGAGGGAUUCAUAAGCCCUAGGUCACAGGUUCGAAUCCUGUUAUCGCCA